rnacentral:lncRNA from 14 species
CUGGCACAGGUUGCCCAGAGAUGCUGUGGCUGCCCCAUUCCUGGCAGUGUUCAAGGCCAGGCUGGAUGGGACUUGGAGCAACCUGGUCUAGUGGAAGAUGUCCCUGCCGGUGGCAGGGGGUUGGAACUGGAUGAGCUUUAAGGUCCCUUCCAACCCAAACCAGUCUGGGAUUCUGUGUUUUGCGUACUUUGUGCCAUCCACUGCAAGCACAAUUACUGAUAAUGUGCAUGUCAGUCGUAAAUACAGCAUAUGCUGAAAAAAAAACUCUUUGCAGACUAAUUAGCAGGAGAAUUGAAUUGCAAAGCUUUUGCAGUAAAAAUCAGUUUCUGUGUUUACAGCUGAUAAUCAGAUGUGCCAAAUUAAAAGUGAUAGUUAUAUGUGUCUAGCAUUGUGCUAACUUCCCAAAUACUCUAAGUGAACUUCUCUGAAACCUUACAAGCCAGUCAUACUUAUGAAACAGCAGGACUGGCUGAUGCCUUACACAGUCUGUUUAAGGUCAUCGUUAUGCUCCGAUGUAUUUGCUUUAUUCUUUUUAAACAAAUUGCACAGGCUUAAAGGAAACCUAGGGGUUCGUUUCUAUAACUGGUAACUGUUCUCUUCAGCAGCAUCACACUGACAGAUGAGCAAGCUCUACAGGAGAUAAAUCUUCUUAAAUAAUCAGUCAAUUGGAAGUUACUAAUUAAGAUUUGAAGAGAUCCUGUCAAAGAAAGACUGCUUUAUGAGAUGGGCAAUGAGGAAGGCAGGAACUCAGCAAGUUGGUAAAAGUUUUUUUUCCUGGGAGUUGAAUGAGUCAACAAAGUCACACUCUUAUGAAAAAGAUGGAGUGCAAUGCUGAAUACCAAAAUGCAUGAGGAAGAAUGUAGCCCUCUUGAUAUAUACACUAAUCAUUUUUCUAUUUUUAGUAUGGAAAAACCUCAGCUGGACAUCUCUGGCAUUGCAGUUCAAGAGGAUGUGAACCAGUUGGAAAGAGCCCAAAGAGGAGCAUUGAGCAUAAUUAGAGGUCUUGAAUAUGACCAAGCAGGACCAUUUCCAGAUCUCUCCACUGGCUACGGGUAACCCAGCUAUCUGAGUGAACAAUAAACUGACACAACUAGCAGACA